GUUUGUUAAAAGACUUCAAUCCGCUCACAGCCAUGCAGAUUAAGACGAAUUUAGAUCGACAUUAUUUUGAUAACAAUGAAAACUCAAAUGCUUGAAACGAAAUGAGUGGAGUUGAACGACGCCUGUUUAUCGAAACUACAUCAAUCAACUUUUCAACUAUGCAGGUGAUCGAUCUGGAGAGAUGAAAACAGUCUUAUGAUCUUCACACAGUCUCAGCUUUUUGGCAUUUACUAAUAUCUGAUGAACG